rnacentral:rRNA from 1 species
GACAGAGGGUGCAAACGUUGUUCGGAAUUACUGGGCGUAAAGCGAGUGUAGGCGGUUUGGUAAGUCGGAUGUGAAAGCCCCGGGCUCAACCCGGGAAGUGCACUCGAUACUGCCAAGCUAGAGUAUCGGAGAGGUUGGUGGAAUUACCGGGUGUAGCGGUGAAAUGCGUAGAUAUCGGUAGGAACACCAGUGGCGAAGGCGGUCUCCUGGGGCAUUCUUGACGCUGAGGCGCGAAAGCUGGGGGAGCGAACGGG